AGAUAUCUGGAAGUACACCAGUUGCGAAGGCGGUCUCCUGGACCAAUACUGACGCUGAUGCUCGAAAGCUGGGGGAGCGAACAGGAUUAGAUACCCUGGUAGUCCCAGCCGUAAACGAUGGACACUAGUUGCCGGAGGAGUCAAUCCCUUCGGUGACGAAGCUAACGCAUUAAGUGUCCCGCCUGGGGAGUACGCUCGCAAGGGUGAAACUCAAAGGAAUUGACGGGGGCCCGCACAAGCGGUGGAGCAUGUGCUUUAAUUCGAUGCAACGCGAAGAACCUUACCUGGGUUUGACAUGGGGGUGAAAGUUUCCAGAGAUGGAAGCCUUUCCUUCGGGAACACCCCACACAGGUGCUGCAUGGUUGUCGUCAGCUCGUGUCGUGAGAUGUUGGGUUAAGUCCCGCAACGAGCGCAACCCCUGCCCUUAGUUGCCAUCAGGUAAAGCUGGGAACUCUAAGGGGACAGCUUGGUAUAACCAGGAGGAAGGUGGGGAUGACGUCAAAUCAUCAUGGCUCUUACGCCCAGGGCUAGACACGUGCUACAAUGGCAGGUACAGUGGGAUGCCAGCCUGCGAAGGUGAGCUAAUCCCUUAAAACCUGUCUCAGUCCGGAUUGGAGUCUGCAACUCGACUCCAUGAAGUUGGAAUCGCUAGUAAUCGCGGAUCAGCAUGCCGCGGUGAUACGUUCCCGGGCCUUGUACACACCGCCCGUCAAGCCAUGAAAGGCGGUAGUACCCGAAGUCGCGUACCCAACCGUAAGGAGGGAAGCGCCGAAGGUAAGACUGCUA
rnacentral:rRNA from 1 species